GACACUCUGGGAAGGCUGCCCAGAGCCACAGCUCCACGGCAGGGAGUGCAGCAGCUCCAGCAGUCCAGCCUCAGCCAAGCUCUCAGUGCUUCCAGACAUGGGAAUCACUGUGGAGUUCAGGCUCCCAGCACUUCCCUGCUUUCAGCUUUACAGCCUUUGGAAGUGGUAGCCCAAAGCCACCAGCUGGAGUUUCGAGCCCCCAGACCCUGGACAGAGAACUCCAAGGCAGAGUUGCCUGGGUUGAGCUGCUCCAGGAACCAGGCAAGAACUCCUCAAAUGGAAUAAUUUCAAUCAAAACAUGUCAGGAUGUGCUAUUUCCAGCUGAACUUUGACCAAUUAAUCUCCAGUUAGCAUGGAACAGUGAUGCAAACCCCAAAGGCUUUACUCUCCACUGCUUACCUUCAUCCAAAGUCUUUUGUAUUUAUGACACACAGGGAGAAGAGCUUAUCCAGACCAGCUUUUGGAUGAUGAGAUAAGUGUCUGACACCAUUAUUUACAGAUAACAGAAAUUCAGCAGCAAUGCCUUUGGCUACUCUGUGUGUCCCGGCUGUUCCCCCACCUCUGUACCACAAGGAGCCUCCUCAGAUCUCCUGGCAACUGUUCACAGAGUUGAGAUGAAGAAAUGUCAAACUUUGGGAAUAAGCUGGAGUUUGUGUUCUGUGUAGAAAGGUAAAUUAUGCACUGAGAGCAAGGCAAAGCAAAGACAAAGUGUGACCUCUGUAUUUGCACAUCUGCUUCAGUUCACACUCCAAGGGAGAUUUGUUAUUAAAAGCUUCAGGUAACUGAUCUGCAUUUUGAAGAAUGUGAAUGAAAAGCAGUGCUGCUCAGGAGCCACAGCAGGACAGUGUGACACUUGCUCUUGGUUCUGCAGUGAAGAUUAAAGUCUUCGGAGAAGAAUCUGUUCUUUUCCGAAUCUCUACUCUGUGAUCCAGUGCCCUGAAGGUCCCUUAUUUACUUCUCACCCCUUUUAACAAAGAGGAUUUCAAUGAAGUUUUUCAUGUUUAUCCAACCCUUUUUCUCCUUGUUGAGCACAUUACUUACUGGGAGAUAUUUUAAUGCAACACUGCAAUUACAUUUCUUUUGCAUUUUACACUUAAAUGAUCACAUGAAUUAAAAAGGAAUGCACAGAGGUCUAAGUGGAUGGGGAUGGUGACCUGGUUUGCAGAGCUUAAGCUGGGUUCUUCUCCAGGCUCUUUUUUCAGCAGUUUAACUGCUCUGAUGACCUUUGUUCCCAACUGUACCUUUGAAAUCCGGUCACUACAGCAGAAAGCCAGACUUCAUCACCCAAAAAGUCAAAAACUGAACCUGAGUGAGUAGUUUUUCCCUACUGCAACAGCUGUUCUGGCCCAAAAUGAUUUGAAAAAUGUAAGAGCCUUUCAAAGUACUGCCAGAUGAAAGUUCUUGAUUAGUAGAUCCCAACCAAUUCAUUAUUUCAUCAUCACCACACAGACCUUUUAGACUGAAGGAGGUACAUAGGGAUGAUUUAAGGCCAUACUUAUCUUUUAUAAUUUCUUUUAAAACAGCCCCACAGACAGAGGUCUGUAUUUAUCCAAAGAAUCUUAAUGUGUUGGCUAAACUUCAGGCAGAGAUUUAGGUUAAUGCAUCUCAUCUAUCCUGUUAAAGUAGCAAUUAUGCAUAUGGAAGAAAAGUGUUUCCAGGGCCCCUGAAGUCCAUGCCAGUAAAGUACCAACUGCAGCUGCAAUUUACAAGAAAAGAAAGGGCUGAAUCUUCUUUUAUUUCCUUGCUACACCCAGCCAAAGAUGGACUCAUCCUACAGAAAAAAAAAGUGAUGAAAGUGAAUUGGUACAUUCCCAUUAAUAUUAAAAAAAAAAAGUCUCUAUAUCAAGUGGGACAAAUGAAGACUGUUCAGAUUCUUCAGAUUGUACUUUAGACCACCAGGGAAGGAUUUAGCUCAAGAAGAAGGCAAAAAACCUCCUUGGCAAAGCUCAGAGCCCUCCCUGUGAGGAUGGAGCUGCUCUGACCCCAAAUCUGAAAUCUUGAAAAUAUUUGAGCUCAAUGGUUUUUUAGCCUCUAAUGGACUGUCUACAUACCAUGUCCAAGUAUGCCCCAUUCUGUGACCUCUGGAUCC